GAAGCGGAAAAGAAUGUGCUGCUCGACUGUCGGUGAAGUGUUUGGAUCCUGCGCGCAUGGGAAACAGGUUGGUUGCUGGAGGACGAUGGGCAGAACUGGCCAAAUUCCACCCUCAAGAAGCUUUCCCCGAGAAUCCUUUCCGGCAGUCAUCGCGGGAUUUGAAGUAUGUGCAGCAAUUAUGAAAUCAGCGUUUCCGAAUCCUGGUCGUCAACGACAUCGAUGGUACACCCUACAGUCGGCCAAAUAUCGAAUUUCUGCCAAAAGUCGAUGCCCAAAAUGCAUUUUCGGUUGAGAUCCGGUGCUAAAGCAACUGGUGCGAGCGAAGGUUGCGUUCAUUCAUUGGACGCUUUUCCAUCUGGGUGAUCCCGCGGAUCCGGAGUUCAUACUCCAGUUCGUCUACCGUGAGGUGCGCACAAUUCAUGCUAUGGUAGAGGAGAAGAAGGUGGGACAUAUCCAUGUCGGAUCCUUGUGUGGUGCUCAUGAGGAAAAGAGGCACGGCUGAAUGAAUAAAUCAAUAAUGAAUCCAAAUUUCAAUCGUAAGUUUUUUUUCUCUUUUUUUUUUAUAGAAGUUUAUAGAGAAAACUAGCAAUUAUUAAUCCACCGAUAUUUUAAAAUUAAGUUAAAAUUAUUUUAAUUUAGCACCAAUAAAUAAACAAAUGAGUAAGCAAAUAAAUAAGCACGAACGAAUAAUACGAAUUAAAAUGUAAGACGUGAAUCAAUCUAGUAACGGGCACAAUUAAUAAAUAUAUCACAGGAAUUCUUAUUAAAAUGAUUUAUCAUGAAAACUAAUUAAAUACACGCACAAAUUGUGAGAAGAAUUUCUGAUUGAAGAUAAUAAAAACUUUUUUAGACACGCCCUGAUUCACGCAAUAUCUAGAUGUGAAUUUAAUUCACUUUAGGCCAUUUGAAAAGAAUAAAAAAUUAUAAUUUGUUUCGUUUUCGCUAACGGUAUCCGAUCAGACACUCCCAUACAACCAAUCCAAAAAUUAUGCCAUUGAAUAUUUCAUUAAUUUGCAACUAGUUUUACCAGCUUAAAAUUUAAUAUUCAUAUUUACAAACUAAAAGUAAAUUAAUAAUCAACCAUUUAUGUUGAAUCUUUGAAUUUUGGCAGGAUUCAACUUUUGCACACUAACCAAGACCCCUAUAAAACAAAAUUGAUUCGUCCACUCGCCCUUGUUAGCGUUUUUUAAUACUUUUGCCCAAAUUGUCUGAAAAGGUCUUCGGGCGUUUUCCCAGAGACUUCCAAGGCAUAAAAUCCUCCGAUCUCAAAAGCGUUCCCUUGCACGACAAAAAGUUACGGAUAAAUUUAAGUUGGGCGCCAGAGUGUAACCAACGGGCUAGCCUACUGCUCAGCGGAGCAAGAACCCCCCUCUA